rnacentral:rRNA from 1 species
GAUGCUAAUACCGGAUAACAACAGAUGAUGCCUAUCAAACUGUUUAAAAGAUGGUUCUGCUAUCACUCUUGGAUGGACCUGCGGUGCAUUAGCUAGUUGGUAGGGUAACGGCCUACCAAGGCGAUGAUGCAUAGCCGAGUUGAGAGACUGAUCGGCCACAUUGGGACUGAGACACGGCCCAAACUCCUACGGGAGGCAGCAGCC